rnacentral:rRNA from 1 species
CAGUCGAGCGGUAGAGAGAAGCUUGCUUCUCUUGAGAGCGGCGGAGGGUGAGUAAUGCCUAGGAAUCUGCCUGGUAGUGGGGGAUAACGCUCGGAAACGGACGCUAAUACCGCAUACGUCCUACGGGAGAAAGCAGGGGACCUUCGGGCCUUGCGCUAUCAGAUGAGCCUAGGUCGGAUUAGCUAGUUGGUGAGGUAAUGGCUCACCAAGGCGACGAUCCGUAACUGGUCUGAGAGGAUGAUCAGUCACACUGGAACUGAGACACGGUCCAGACUCCUACGGGAGGCAGCAGUGGGGAAUAUUGGACAAUGGGCGAAAGCCUGAUCCAGCCAUGCCGCGUGUGUGAAGAAGGUCUUCGGAUUGUAAAGCACUUUAAGUUGGGAGGAAGGGCAGUAAAUUAAUACUUUGCUGUUUUGACGUUACCGACAGAAUAAGCACCGGCUAACUCUGUGCCAGCAGCCGCGGUAAUACAGAGGGUGCAAGCGUUAAUCGGAAUUACUGGGCGUAAAGCGCGCGUAGGUGGUUUGUUAAGUUGGAUGUGAAAUCCCCGGGCUCAACCUGGGAACUGCAUUCAAAACUGACAAGCUAGAGUAUGGUAGAGGGUGGUGGAAUUUCCUGUGUAGCGGUGAAAUGCGUAGAUAUAGGAAGGAACACCAGUGGCGAAGGCGACCACCUGGACUGAUACUGACACUGAGGUGCGAAAGCGUGGGGAGCAACAGGAUUAGAUACCCUGGUAGUCCACGCCGUAAACGAUGUCAACUAGCCGUUGGGAGCCUUGAGCUCUUAGUGGCGCAGCUAACGCAUUAAGUUGACCGCCUGGGGAGUACGGCCGCAAGGUUAAAACUCAAAUGAAUUGACGGGGGCCCGCACAAGCGGUGGAGCAUGUGGUUUAAUUCGAAGCAACGCGAAGAACCUUACCAGGCCUUGACAUCCAAUGAACUUUCCAGAGAUGGAUUGGUGCCUUCGGGAACAUUGAGACAGGUGCUGCAUGGCUGUCGUCAGCUCGUGUCGUGAGAUGUUGGGUUAAGUCCCGUAACGAGCGCAACCCUUGUCCUUAGUUACCAGCACGUAAUGGUGGGCACUCUAAGGAGACUGCCGGUGACAAACCGGAGGAAGGUGGGGAUGACGUCAAGUCAUCAUGGCCCUUACGGCCUGGGCUACACACGUGCUACAAUGGUCGGUACAGAGGGUUGCCAAGCCGCGAGGUGGAGCUAAUCCCAUAAAACCGAUCGUAGUCCGGAUCGCAGUCUGCAACUCGACUGCGUGAAGUCGGAAUCGCUAGUAAUCGCGAAUCAGAAUGUCGCGGUGAAUACGUUCCCGGGCCUUGUACACACCGCCCGUCACACCAUGGGAGUGGGUUGCACCAGAAGUAGCUAGUCUAACCUUCGGGAGGACGGU